rnacentral:lncRNA from 1 species
CUCUGUUCAACUCGUUAGAACCGUCCUAUCAGAAGAGCCUCCAAUCAUCUCUCAAGAGUUCUGGGAGCGUGACGUCUCUUCCUCAGAGCGACCGCUCCUCUUCCUCAUCACAGGAGAGCCUUAAUCGUCCUCUGUCAUCUAAAUGGUCAGCUGCUCCUGGAAGAGUCCCGGCGGGUCAUAAGGGCGGGCGUCGCCGGGCUACCUACAGCGUUCCCGUAGCGAUGUAGAUGUUAAUGCGGCAACGGUUGCUAAGCAGCGGCACAUCGGGCAGGUGGGGCCAGUGAGACUGAGCCCCAGCUCCUACUCCUCAUUGGAUGAUGCCUCAGAUAAAACAGAUGGUAAGAUCAACUCCUCCUUCACUCCCCCCGCUCAAAAACACCUCACGCUUUUUUUUCCUUCAUGUUUUUAAUUCCUCCCCUUCAUUCCUCCUUCCUGUGUAUUC